CACAAUUAUUGACGUAUUAAAAAAACAGCCAUGCUUUCAAUAGACCUUUUUCACGACAACCGGAAGCUGCGUCUGAAAGGGCUGGAGCGCUUCCUGUUUUACUCUGAAAAAUGUCUCUCCUCCGGUGCUUUUCGUCAUCCUUACUUAGUUUGCCAACACUUUCUUUCGCGGAUGCGGAGGAAAUCGCUGCGGCGAAUUCCCCCACCAACAAAUCUGUGAAAGGAUACAAGUUCUUCCAUGAAGAAUAUAUCCACAGUUAUCAAGAUAUCACUGGGUGUUGGAAAAGAAAAGGCAGAAUUGUUGGAUUAUUCCUGUAGCUGUGCAGCUGGUAAAUGUUUUUGCAAUCAUGUAGUUGCACUUCUUUACCAGACUGCACACUACUCCCAACUCCAGCUGCCAAAUGUUCCUGCUGCACUGGCCUGCACUAGUGAGUUACAAAGAUGGCACAGACCAAGAACACAGGGGAUACAUCCUGAACCUGUCAGCGACAUGGUGGUGCAGAAG